ACUUUUACUGAACUGAAAUAUAACUAAUACAGCCCUUUUGCAGCUCCCAAGUACAACACAUGAUGGCACUCUUGCAAUAUGAAACAAAAAACAGCUGCAACAAAAUGUAAAUGAUGUCAUUCUUACACAUAUAAUAGAUACAUAAUAAAGAAAUCUUAAUUUUAGGCUGUUGGGGAAUCACACAACCUACAGCUAGUUUCAGGCUUGAAAAUAUAAUUAUAAUAAAACACUCUAUUUAAUGCUUUAAUUACUAUUGAAACCAAAUGGUGCAAAUGGCAUGAUUAAAAACAAAUCCAUAAGAACAAAUAGACAGCCUCGUGCCUAUAUAUUUCCUUUUAAAAGUGUGAUUAACAAUGAAAAGUCGAAUACAGGCUUGAUUAUGGGCUAAUGUGCAGGCAAACUCAGAAUAUAGCUCAGGAUUCUAACUGUAAAACUCGGAAUUGAGUCUUCAUAACUCAGAAUUCUGAUGUUAUAAUAUUUAUUAUAUAUUUAUUUAUUAUUCAGUGGCGGGAAAGGGCCUCCAUGGGUAUCUACCGCCUCAAUGACAGGCAAACAAAUUUUAGUUCAGUAGAAAACUUGGCCCUCUUCAUGUUAUAAGGAUCAUGUCCAACAUAUGUGGUUAUUUUAUCUUUACAUCUCCUUUGAAAUAUGGUAUAAAUCGCAAAAUACGACUUUCCUAUACCCCCCUUACUUCCUGUGCUUCAUCUGAAUUUCGCGGGUCAACAUGUGAACCACGUGAUUGCAAAAGGUUCCUGGAGUGACGUCAGCGCGCAGGGGGGUAUAAAAACGCACACCAGCCUUCACUCAGUUUGCCAGUUUCUAAUUUGUAGCGUGUUGUGUUAAUGACAACAAACAACCAAACAAACGCACCAAACACCCACAGAAUUCUCACCGUUUACCUCCAAAGUCAGUUUUUGGGCUGAAUCUGGACACAUCUGAAUCCACAAAAUCACACCAGGAGUUUGAAACCCAUCAGUAAAGAUGUUUACAAAAGUUCUUGUUUGGUGGUGUUGAGGAUCUUCUGGAUGCUCUGCAGCUCCUCAAUCAUACUCUUCUGCUCGUCUGCAUCUUUCUGAAGCUGGAUCUCCUGAGACUGAGGGAAAAGCAUGGAAACCUCAGUGCAUCUGUUUUCUCACCUCCACCUGAAGGGUGCCGACGCUCCUCCUGUAAUCAUCCGUCUGUUUCUCGCAGAGCGUCUGGAAGUUUCUGACCAGCUGUUCUGCCUCAGUUCUCUUCUUCUUCUGCUCUUCACACUCGUCCACUGCUCUCCUCCGCAGCUCCGUCUCCAUCUCAAAGUCCAUCCGCAGCUUUAGUGUGACCUGCGUCAGAUCCUGCAGACGCUCCUGCAUCUCAUCAACACACCUGUAAGAACACACACAUAUAGCUGAUUCUGGAAAAUGAUCUGGAGCCAUCAGUAAUGUAAAUCUUUGAGUACAGACAGGCAGAUAGUUAGUUGUGUUAAAGUGUUAGUCCCCUCACCAACAGUGUUAGUCCCCUCAUCUUAUUUGCAUGCCUGUUAAAUAUUAGUCAAAGAUAACACAAGUAAACGCAUCAUGCAGUUUAAAAUGAAAGUUUUUAUUAUUAAGGGAAGAAACUACAUAGCACUUUGUUAAAAAGUGUUUGCCCAUAAACCUAAUAACUGGUUGGUCUCCUUUUAGCAGCAACAACUACAAUCAAGCAUUUUUCAUAACUUGCACUGAGUCUGUUCAGUGCUGUGGAGGAAUUGUGGCCCACUCAUCUCUGCUGAAUUGUUGUAAUUCAGUGUUGUAAUUCAGGGUUUUUCGAGCAUGAACUGUCUUAAAAAGGUCAUGCCACAGCAUCUCAAUCAUAAUUGGCUUCAUCAUUCUGUCUCCUUUCCACCAAUCAGCUGGUGUGUGGUGUGCGGUCUGGCGCAA